rnacentral:rRNA from 1 species
AACGAACGCUGGCGGCAUGCCUAACACAUGCAAGUCGAACGAGACCUUCGGGUCUAGUGGCGCACGGGUGCGUAACGCGUGGGAACCUGCCCUUAGGUUCGGAAUAACUCCCCGAAAGGGGUGCUAAUACCGGAUAAUGUCUUCGGACCAAAGAUUUAUCGCCUUUGGAUGGGCCCGCGUUGGAUUAGCUAGUUGGUAGGGUAAAAGCCUACCAAGGCGACGAUCCAUAGCUGGUCUGAGAGGAUGAUCAGCCACACUGGGACUGAGACACGGCCCAGACUCCUACGGGAAGCAGCAGUGGGGAAUAUUGGACAAUGGGCGAAAGCCUGAUCCAGCAAUGCCACGUGAGUGAUGAAGGCCUUAGGGUUGUAAAGCUCUUUUACCCGGGAUGAUAAUGACGGUACCGGGAGAAUAAGCUCCGGCUAACUCCGUG